rnacentral:lncRNA from 1 species
AAUUGCUCCUUCUAAUUCGUUGAAGAAUUGAGUUGGAAUUCAAAAUGUCAAUUUAUAAAUGAAAGUUUCUCAUGUGUGUUUGAAAGAGCCGGCGAUUUCUACAUCUCCUCAGGAGAUGCAGAUGUAGUUAUUAAUACUGCUGGGCUGGGCUGGUUCGGGUGUCAGGCUUUCUCUUUUCCCUUGCUUCCCCUCCCUCUGUUCUUCACUUGGAUACAUAUCAUUCAUAUUCAUCUCAAAACAAAAACUUAACGCUUGCUUUGUGUUUAGCUUCAUCCUCUCCUCCAUGCUCUGACCUGGUGGCUUUGCGUUUCUCAUCUACUUCCUGUGGCACCUCUCUCCCUCCCCCCCCCUCUCUCUCUCUCUCUUCUCUCUCUCUCUCUCCUUUCUGUGUCCACUCUUCACUUCAUUCCAGCUCUACCCUUUACCCUCUCCUCCCCCUUGGCAUUCAUCUUUCCUAUUUGUUCCUGUC